rnacentral:rRNA from 1 species
GAUGAACGCUAGCGGGAGGCCUAACACAUGCAAGCCGAGCGGUAUUGUUUCUUCGGAAAUGAGAGAGCGGCGUACGGGUGCGGAACACGUGUGCAACCUGCCUUUAUCUGGGGGAUAGCCUUUCGAAAGGAAGAUUAAUACUCCAUAAUAUAUUGAACGGCAUCGUUUAAUAUUGAAAGCUCCGGCGGAUAGAGAUGGGCACGCGCAAGAUUAGCUAGUUGGUGAGGUAACGGCUCACCAAGGCGAUGAUCUUUAGGGGGCCUGAGAGGGUGAGCCCCCACACUGGUACUGAGACACGGACCAGACUCCUACGGGAGGCAGCAGUGAGGAAUAUUGGUCAAUGGGUGCAAGCCUGAACCAGCCAUCCCGCGUGAAGGACGACUGCCCUAUGGGUUGUAAACUUCUUUUGUAUAGGGAUAAACCUACCCUCGUGAGGGUAGCUGAAGGUACUAUACGAAUAAGCACCGGCUAACUCCGUGCCAGCCGCCGCCGUAAAAC